rnacentral:rRNA from 1 species
GACGAACGCUGGCGGCGUGCUUAACACAUGCAAGUCGAACGGAAAGGCCCUGCUUUUGUGGGGUGCUCGAGUGGCGAACGGGUGAGUAACACGUGAGUAACCUGCCCUUGACUUUGGGAUAACUUCAGGAAACUGGGGCUAAUACCGGAUAGGAGCUCCUGCUGCAUGGUGGGGGUUGGAAAGUUUCGGCGGUUGGGGCUGGACUCGCGGCUUAUCAGCUUGUUGGUGUGGUAGUGGCUUACCAAGGCUUUGACGGGUAGCCGGCCUGAGAGGGUGACCGGCGACAUUGGGACUGAGAUACGGCCCAGACUCCUACGGGAGGCAGCAGUGGGGAAUAUUGCACAAUGGGCGGAAGCCUGAUGCAGCAACGCCGCGUGCGGGAUGACGGCCUUCGGGUUGUAAACCGCUUUCGCCUGUGACGAAGCGUGAGUGACGGUAAUGGGUAAAGAAGCACCGGCUAACUACGUG